AGUGAACGCUGGCGGUAGGCCUAACACAUGCAAGUCGAACGGCAGCACAGUAAGAGCUUGCUCUUACGGGUGGCGAGUGGCGGACGGGUGAGGAAUACAUCGGAAUCUACUUUUUCGUGGGGGAUAACGUAGGGAAACUUACGCUAAUACCGCAUACGACCUACGGGUGAAAGCAGGGGAUCUUCGGACCUUGCGCGAUUGAAUGAGCCGAUGUCGGAUUAGCUAGUUGGCGGGGUAAAGGCCCACCAAGGCGACGAUCCGUAGCUGGUCUGAGAGGGUGGUGGGCGGCGGUGGGAAGGAGACACGGCCCAAACUCCCACGGGAGGCAGCAGUAGGGAAUCUUCGGCAAUGGACGAAAGUCUGAGCGAGCAACGGCGCGUGAGUGAAGAAGGUUUUCGGAUCGUAAAAAUCUGUUGGUAGAGAAGAACGUUGGUGAGAGUGGAAAGCUCAUCAAGUGACGGUAACUAACCAGAAAGGGACGGCUAGCUACGUG
rnacentral:rRNA from 1 species